UGCGAUAUUAAAGCGGAAGUCAACCCAAUAAGACAAAACUUAUUGCCUAAUCUAAACUUGGCUCUGUGUUUUUCAAACGUUGAUCCACCAAGUAUUUUUCUAAAAAAAAAAAAAAACAUUAGCAUUUACUCGCUAACCGAGUUGCCAUUUUGGUCUCCAGUCGCAAGAAUAUGACGUCAUCGGUCUCUAAUUACCAGCCAGGUGUAAUUGCCCGGCCAGGUUUUUGGGUGCAUUAACGAGAAUGAGAAAUGUUCAGGGAAAAGUUGUUGUUUUUUUCCAGAUUGAAAAUGCUUCGAAAAUUCCACAAAGGCGGAAUAAAACGGCAAAGCGUUUUCAUUUGAUUGAAGCUGGCCACUCUGUGGACAACAAUGACUUCUAAGCACAGAGCUGAAUGUCAAACAAAGUGAGUGAGACAAUGUUCGGCGUUGAGGGACCGAAAUAAGCGGACUUUGUUCAUCUGUACAAUCAAACCGGGAGAACGACCAGGUAUGUGCGUCUGUGCAUCCGUUAAAUCAAAUAGCGGGAAAGGACUCCAUCACCUGGCAGAUUUGAGCGAACACUUGGUCAGGUGACUUCUCGGCAUCAAUCUGCAAAAUCAAAAGUUACAAAUGUGCUCAAACAUUCGUGCAUUAGGUGUCUUGGAGUAAAAAAUAUGUGGUCAUAAAAAAGAAAAAAAUGAGAUGUUUGCACUUUCCACGAUGCACUGACCGUGUGCAGCAGCUUUUUUUCUUCGUAGUGUUCCACCACCGGCUCGGCGUCGGCCCAGAAGCUGUCCUUCCUCCAGCACGGGGCACCGUCUUUGAGCGUCGGCGACACCGUGGCCGAAGUGGAACUCCGGCGUCUCUGCAGACGACUGAAGAAGACGGCUGAUGCGGAACCACCUUGGCCUCGUACGCUUGAGCCUGUCUCAGGUCUACGGGGAAGCCGCAUAGCACCACGCCCCUUGUCUGACGUCGAGUUGCCGCCGCCGCUGCUGCUCCGACGGCCUCGCACAGCACAUCCAUGUUAUCAAAUGAAAACUCUUCAAAGUGUCGUGUUAGACAAACAUCAACGUUGAGUGAUUGAAGGUGGUGACAGAGACAAGCGCCUGCAAGAUAAACAUCGCCUCCGUGUUUCAUCUCACCUCCUACUACCAAUGAAGAAAAAACAGUGAGCAAAUGUGUGAAAAAUGCUCCAAGUUGUUUACGCUGCUUCUGACUGCACACUGGAAAGCUACUGUGCAAAUGAGACCGAAUCUGGCACGUGCCAAAUGGUCAUCCAAAUGGACUUUGCUGCUCACCUCAUCAGUCUUUCCAGCAAAGUGGCCCAUGUUGCAUUCAGGCAGCAUACUGAGAUCCAGCUCACUUGGAACUGCGGGACCUGCUGACAUUUCCCAUGGCGACGUCACCACAUUCAAGCCGUCCCCCCCCCCGCCCGCCGCUCGGAUGACACAUCGCCAUCCCCCUCAUCUUAUUCGUCGUCAUCGGCACCCAGCUGCCAUUCCACAAG